rnacentral:rRNA from 1 species
UACGUAGGGGGCUAGCGUUGUCCGGAAUCAUUGGGCGUAAAGCGCGUGUAGGCGGUCCGGUAAGUCCGCUGUGAAAGUCGAGGGCUCAACCCUCGAAUGCCGGUGGAUACUGUCGGGCUUGAGUACGGGAGAGGCGAGUGGAAUUCCUGGUGUAGAGGUGAAAUUCGUAGAUAUUAGGAAGAACACCGGUGGCGAAGGCGGCCCACUGGUCCGGUACUGACGCUGAGGUGCGAAAGCGUGGGGAGCAAACAGG